rnacentral:lncRNA from 1 species
AUUGACAUAUUCACCUUCCGACAAAAGUUCAUUCAAAAUCUCUUUGAGUGAGAGAGAUGAAGGAGAAAGGGUUGAGAGGAAUGAAGGAGGUGAGUAAGGGUUUGUGAUUUCUUUUUUUAGUUUUGAGAAUGAAAAUUAUUAAAAUAAGACAAGUGUUUCUGAUUUUUUUCAAUUGGGGCUAGAGUAGGGAUGACAGAGAAAAUAUCGAAGUGAAAGAGAUGAAAAAGAAAGGGUUGAAAGGAAUGAGAGAGGUGGAUAAGGGUUUGGGG